rnacentral:rRNA from 1 species
UACGGAGGGUGCGAGCGUUGUCCGGAAUCACUGGGCGUAAAGGGCGCGUAGGCGGCUUCUCAAGCGUGUGGUGAAAGUCCGGGGCUCAACCCCGGAUCGGCCGUGCGGACUGGGGAGCUCGAGUUCUGUAGAGGCGGGUGGAAUUCCGGGUGUAGCGGUGGAAUGCGUAGAGAUCCGGAAGAACACCGGUGGCGAAGGCGGCCGCCUGGGCAGAGACGUGACGCUGAGGCGCGACAGCGUGGGGAGCAAACAGG